rnacentral:rRNA from 1 species
AUUGAACGCUGGCGGCAGGCCUAACACAUGCAAGUCGAGCGAGCGGCGGACGGGUGAGUAAUGUCUGGGACACUGCCUGCUGGAGGGGGAUAACUACUGGAAACGGUCGCUAAUACCGCAUACCAUCUGAUGUGCCCAUAUGGGAUUAGCUAGUAGGUUGGGUAACGGCACACCUAGGCGACGAUCCCUAGCUGGUCUGUGAGGAUGACCAGACACACUGGAACGUGGACACGGUCCGACCUCCUACGGGAGGCAGCAGUGGGAAAGAUUGGACAAUGGGCGCAAUCCUGAUGCAGCCAUGCCGCGUGUGUGAAGAAGGACUUCGGGUUGUAAAGCACUUUCAGCGAGGAGGCGUUACCUGCAGAAGAAGCACCGGCUAACUCCGUGCCAGCAGCCGCGGUAAUAC